AAACUCUCUAUGUCCAUUUCCUGCUCAUGCUUCUUGCGGCUGGCCUCCCCCUCCUUCUUGGACAGCUCUGCCAUCUCCUCUUUGAUGUCUCGGAUCUGUCUCUGCAGACGUUUGUUCUGUUUCCUUCUCUCGGUUCUC